UCGCUGCCACGGACAAACCCUCUGUGCACCACACUGCACUGGGGCACUGGGAUCUGGGGGGGGGAGGAUUUUCAAUUAAAAAUUUCUUUUUUCCAUUUUUCUUUUCCCCCCAAUUUCACUUGGAGCCCAGGAUGUGCUGCCCCUGAAUGCCAGGACUCGGCAAGCUUCUCUUCCUUUCUCCAUCUGAAUCUACGAGCAGCAAGAAACCCAAGUGCCUGGGAAGGUGAUGGGACCGUGGAGUCUCCUGGAUUUGUUCUCAGUGUGGAUUUCAAUGUGUGGAACCCCCGAGGAGUGUGAGACUCCGGGAGCUCAGACCCCUCCUGGCAGAGUCACCCCAUGGUCAGGCUGAUGUGAAGAGGACAAGGCACACCUCACAGCCAUGGGCAGGAGAUGAGUGACUGGGAUGAGCUCUCAGAGGGGGUUUAGACCCCUGGCUCGGAGUUUUGGGGAUGGCAGGGGAUGUGCAAGGCCUGUGGUGCAGCACUAAGUGGUGAGAGGGUUCAGAGGGCUUCACCUGCAGGUCCACCCCAGGUCACAGGUGAAGGGUGCUAAAGUGGGUGCUAAAAGUGGAAUUUCACUUCUGGGCAUGGGCAGGAGCAGGAACUGGAGGUGGAUCUCUUGGACAAUGGCCUUUAAAGGGGUUUCAAGUCCUAAAACAAGCUGGGUUUGUUGGUUUGAAGACCUAAAUUUUGGUCUUAAAGUCUAAAGUGGAGGUAAAAUAGGACAUUAGUACUCUGAUGGCUCUAGUCAUCAGUCCUAAAGUAAAUAAUUACAGAAAAUCUGUAAAGAGCUGAGGAAAUCUUUCCUCGAAGCUGAUGAACUGUCUGACUCCUUCCACCUUAAACUACUGAAAUCCUGAGUGUUUCUGGGGGCUCUGUUUGCUGCUAACCUGUGACAGGUAACAUUAACAUUCCCUCUGAACUUCCCUAUUCCUCAUUUUUCUUGGCCAGACCUCUCUCCUGGAUCCUUGUGUUCCCUCUGGCUCUUGCAGGCUUUGCUCCUCUGCUGUUCCUGGCUCUUCACCUCUGGUGGGGAUGCUGUGAGUUGGUGCCUCCUGGGCUCACCCAGGUCUUACCUGGACAGAGCCAUCCUGUGAUAACACCAGAGCAGGGCGGCCUCAGGAGGGUUCUUGGGGGGUGUUCCUCCCUUUGGACAGGGACACUGUUGUGUGUUCCCAUGGAUCUUCUCCCUGUUCUCCACACCAGUGGCCAUCCCACACCCCACAUUCCUCACCCCCCAGUUUGCCCCAGCACAGCUUCAGUGCCACGUCCCAGUGAGCCCAGAGCAGGGUGGGGCCAAGGCUGCCUUUCACCUGUGCCUGCCUGCGGAUGAUGUGUGGAGUUCUCAGUGCCCACAGGGAAAAGCACCCACAGCUGUAGGAAAAGGGACCUUCCCCUGCUCAGCUGAGCACCAGGAUGCAGCUUCUACUUUAUGGUUUCUUCCUGAAGUUUCCCUUUGCCAAAGAUGUGGCUGGAAAGCAGAGGGAAGUCAGGCUUUAAAGGAAGGUCUGGUGGCUGUUGAGGUGAUGGCAAUAAAAACCUCUGAGUUUAGCAAAA